CCACUGAUUGUGAACCGGUGGAACAGUGUAAACCAGCAAGCAGGGAACAGAAAAGAACUUCAAAAUAUAUAAGGCACAAAUUACUGUGAGGCAUAAGACAUUACAAAGUGCUGUGGGAAGCUGCAUGGGAAAGGAUCAACACAGCACAUAGGUGGUGAAGCAAAAAGUGCCUUGGAAUUCACAGAGGGUAUGAUGUUUUGGAAAGAGAUGCCAUGCAGUUGGUCCCCUCUCUACAGCAGCAGGAAAGGUGGAAAAUGGUGGCUCCUCAGGUCAGAAGCUCUGUGCUGGGCUCCAGUAUACAAUCUGUUCCCCGUGCAACACAUGUGGCCAUGUUCCAGCUCAGCUGCAUGUCCAUACACGCACCAAAGAGCAGGCGCUAUCUACUACACAUGUGCUGAAGGUGGGCCAAUGGAAACAGAAGUGAGAAGCUGCCACAGAGGUAAAUGAAGUGAAUGAGAAGAAUAUCUGGGAUAGACUGAUAUCCGUUGGAGCCUGCAGUUAGACCUCACACUCAAGAAAUAUAGAUUUCACCUACCUACAGAAUACCUAA